rnacentral:rRNA from 1 species
CAUUGGGCGUAAAGGGUGCGUAGAUGGCANGAUAAGUUAUCAGUGGUAAAAUCGGGGCUCAACCUCGUGGAAGCUGGUAAUACUGUCAUACUUGAGUGCAGGAGAGGUUAACGGAACUCCAUGUGGAGCGGUAAAAUGCUUAGAUAUAUGGAUGAACACCAAUAACGGCGAAGGCAGUUAACUAUUCUGUUACUGACAUUGAGGCACGAAAGCGUGGGGAGCAAAAAGGAUUAGAUACCCUUGUAGUCCACGCCCUAAACGAUGAGUGCUAGAUAUUGGGAACUUGUUUCUCAGUGUCGCUAGGUAACCCAGUAAGCACUCCGCCUGGGUAGUAUGCUCGCAAGAGUGAAACUCAAAGGAAUUGACGGGGACUCGCACAAGCAGUGGAGCAUGUGGUUUAAUCCGAUACAACGCGUAGAACCUUACCAAGGCUUGACAUGUUUGGCAAAGCUCGGGAAACCGAGCGGAGGUUAUCCAAACACAGGUGCUGCAUGGCCGUCGUCAGUUCGUGCCGUGAGGUGUAUGGUUAAGUCCUAUAACGAACGCAACCCUUAGGCUUAGUUGCCAGCAUUCAGUUGGGGACUCUAGGCCGACUGCCUGAGUAAUCAGGAGGAAGGAAAGGAUGACCGU